rnacentral:rRNA from 1 species
CCUACGGGUGGCAGCAGUAGGGAAUCUUUCACAAUGGGCGAAAGCCUGAUGGAGCAACGCCGCGUGCAGGAUGAAGGCCUUCGGGUUGUAAACUGCUUUUAUAAGCGAGAAAUAUGAUGGUAACUUAUGAAUAAGGAUCGGCUAACUACGUGCCAGCAGCCGCGGUCAUACGUAGGAUCCGAGCAUUAUCCGGAGUGACUGGGUGUAAAGAGUUGCGUAGGUGGCAUAAUAAGUAGCUAGUGAAAUCUGGUGGCUCAACAAUUCAGACUAUUAGCUAAACUGUUAAGCUCGAGACCGUUAGGAGUAACUGGAAUUUCUAGUGUAGGAGUGAAAUCCGGAGAUAUUAGAAGGAACACCAAUAGGGUAGGCAGGUUGCUGGGACGGUUCUGACACUAAGGCACGAAAGCGUAGGGAGCAAACGGGAUUAGAUACCCCUGUAGUC